rnacentral:misc_RNA from 1 species
ACACCUCAACUCUCAUGGCUUGCCCAUGAUGAGCUUGGACUAUGGGGGUCUUGCUGGCCUGCGGUCGGCUCCUCUCAAAUAAAUCAGCUUGCCAGUGUUUGGUGGCGUCACGGGUGUGAUAACUAUCUACGCUUGUGGUUUUCCGCCAGGUAACCUUCAGCAGCUGGAGGUUCACUGGAGCUCAUAGAUGUCUCUCCUCAGUGAAGAUGGCCCUUUGAAU